rnacentral:rRNA from 1 species
UACGUAGGGUGCGAGCGUUAAUCGGAAUUACUGGGCGUAAAGCGUGCGCAGGCGAUGAGCUGUGUCCGAUGUGAAAGCCCCGGGCUUAACCUGGGAAUGGCAUUGGAAACUGGCUCGCUGGAGUGUGGCAGAGGGGGGUGGAAUUCCGCGUGUAGCAGUGAAAUGCGUAGAGAUGCGGAGGAACACCGAUGGCGAAGGCAGCCCCCUGGGCUAACACUGACGCUCAGGCACGAAAGCGUGGGGAGCAAACAGG